rnacentral:misc_RNA from 1 species
GUUUUGCAAAUAAUUCAGGACUCUGUGGACGACCAUUGGAUCCUUGCCUUCGCUCUCCUCCAAAUGAGCUCUCUUUUUCCUUCAUCACAGGGUUUGUGGUUGGUUAUAUGGUUGCUAUAGCUUUGGUUUUGUAUCUUUAUUUUUGGUUUUCUAUGUCCAAAAGGUCUAAGAAGAAAUCGAUGGAGAAGAAAAUCAAAAAGGGAAGACAACCAAUUGAUGGAAGAAGGAUGGAUAUAAAGAUGUCUACACUGG